rnacentral:rRNA from 1 species
UUGUCCGGAAUUACUGGGUGUAAAGGGAGCGUAGGCGGGACGGUAAGUCAGGUGUGAAAUAUACGUGCUCAACAUGUAGACUGCACUUGAAACUGCUGUUCUUGAGUGAAGUAGAGGUAAGCGGAAUUCCUAGUGUAGCGGUGAAAUGCGUAGAUAUUAGGAGGAACAUCGGUGGCGAAGGCGGCUUACUGGGCUUUUACUGACGCUGAGGCUCGAAAGCGUGGGGAGCAAACAGGAUUAGAUACCCUGGUAGUCCACGCUGUAAACGAUGAUUACUAGGUGUGGGGGGACUGACCCCUUCCGUGCCG